AUCGCAUACAAGAGUGAGCCAUCUUUUGACGAUGGUAGGAUAAUUAUUGACCUGAGGAAUAAUAUGGAUUUAUGUGGUUGUGGUGGACUUUGUGUUUGUGAUUGUGAAAAUGUGAGUGUGUGUCUGUGUAUGUGUGAACCAGGGAUCCCACUUGACAAGUUGACCUUGUCUAGAGGAGCAUUAGUGGAAAAAAACAGGGUAGCCCUGAGACAAUAGGAUGCCGUCACGACCAAUGAGACUGGCCUGCAGGGGGCGCAAGGAUUCACUUCUCUCUUGGACACUGGCGGGUGUAGACACGGUGGAUUUUGUGACGAGCGGAUUUACAAUGAGGGAAUGCUGUGAACGGGAAAAAUGAUGAUUGACCAAAGGAGCAUUAGUGGAAAAGAACAGUGUAGCCCUGAGACAAUAGGAUGAUGUCUGGACCAAUGAGAACUGCAAGCAGGGGGCGCAGGAAUGCUCUUCUCACUUAGCCUCACGACCAAUGAGAACGGCCAGCAGGGGGCGCAGGAAUGCUCUUCUCUCUUAGCCUCUCGCAGGUGGCAGUAGGAGCGCGCAGAGGGCGCUACGAGCGCGCGCAUGCGUAGCACCCGUAGAGUGGCGCUUACGUCAGUCCACCUCUGGCUCUCGUUGGGAGAAGACGUGCGGUCGUUCGCUCCGUCGUCACUUGAUCCCUGGCUGUCGACGAGAGCAGUCGCAUCGGUCUGCGCUCCUACUGUGGUGAGGUGAUUUGUUGUGUAACUAAUGCUUUCGCCAACUUUGUUCCCGCUUUGUUUGCGAUUUUCGUGCCCGUGCACGUCGGGUGCUGGUUGCUGUUGUCCGGGCAUUCCCGCCAUUUUCUAUCAUCUUCUGCCUUGGGACCGGGAGUAGUGCUGGCGUGAUUCUUAAUAAUUUUGUUGUGAGAUUAGUUGAGAAAGUAACCGCUAGGGGGUGCAGCUGCGGGGUUUAUACAGGACAAAAACCAUUACGAGUCAGUUUCUGCCUGCCUCUCGGAUGGAGCAGUCGCAUGGUUCUGCGCUCCUGUUCUGGUGGGCUCAUUUGUUGUGUAACUAAUUUUUUUUGUUGUUAGCUAUUGAUGGUUUGCAUACUCUUGCUUUUCCAGCCUCUGUAUUACGAGUGUUUUUCUCCUUGCAUGCCCAGAGCUGUCCUAACUUGCCCAGACAUGCCGUGAUCACGUCACAGCUGACGUCACAGGAUGUCCGGAACUGGUGGUCAUAGCUGCGAUGCUUUGCAACCUGCCUCUGUGCUCCGUCGCCCAGCGACGGUCAGCGGCCUUUCCGGACCGCUUUCUUCAAGAUGGCGCCGUUGAUCUUCAAUUAAACUCCUUCUCUCCACUCUAUUUCUAUCUAUUUUUUUCUUUUUUAUGGACUCUCGUAGUGCACAACGCUCAGGGUGGUCUGGACACGAGAUAGACGUUCCCCAAUUAGUGUGAUGACUCAUUGGAUGAUGCUGAUUAAUGUGGGGGGUCCCAAUUAGCUCUAAUUGCUAAUUAAAUCGUGUUCAGGCCAGUUGGGCGUUGUGCACUAUGAGAGUCCAGUACCUACUACUCCCUCCUCCAAAGCAGUGACUGACUUAGCAAUAUAUUCACAAAUCUCAUACAGGUCACAUACCGACGCGCAAAAAACCUGGCAGACUCCUUGGUCAAUGCCAAAAUCAGCAAAACGAGCACCCCGUACACGGGAACACGACCCUGAAACCUCCCGCGCUGCAAAACAUGCAAGCACGUUCAACACGCUAACUCCAUCAAAAGCACUGCGAGCAAGUACACCCACCCCGUUAACCACGCAUUCACAUGCACAAGCUCCAAUGUCAUAUACUGCAUUGAAUGCGGCGACUGGUCUAUGCAAUACAUUGGUGAAACCGGCCAACAAAUGAACAACCGCCUUACCGGACACAGAACCGACACGUCCAACAAACUCCCCAAAGCAGUCGCCGAACACUUCAACGUUCCUGGUCACAAUUUCGACAACAUUAAACUACAUAUUCUAGAAACCGGGUUUAGAUCCACACGUGACAGACGUGAUAGGGAGUCUUAUCUCAUAUACAAGUUCAACGCUCUCCACCCGUCCGGUAUCAACAAAUCACAGGGCACCCUAGAAACACUUCACAAAUAAAAUACGCUUUUUUCUUCUACCUCCAUUAUCAUCUGUUAUGUUCUGCAUGGCCACUGCUUUCUACUUUCUUUAUUGCAUGCCACAACUUUGUAUUAAAAAAAAAACUUUGCUCGUUCUGGAAUUUUCCCCACGUAACCACUAACCUCCUUAUCUUUGGCUAUGCUUGCCAAUUCUUGCCUAUUGUCCCGUUUCAUCCACGUGUUCGUGAACCUUCCAUUUUUCUGUAACCGGUCUGUAGCCUAGAUCACUACGUUCACAUAAUCCCCUCCACACUCUAAGAAAGCAGCCAUUCACUCCGGCCGUAGAAGCCCGUACGGAACCUUUCUUCCCUCCGGGCUGUUGACCCACAAUUCGCAUGAACCUUUAAACACGUCACACCUAACCCUUUAAAUACCAUGCCAAUGACGAGGACCGUGCCCAGAAGAAGAACAGUCUCUGUUCGAAAUAUCGGCGGCUUCUGUCCUGAGGCAACUCCCUUCCUAUUCCCCCAGAGUGUUAGACGUGACGUUGCGUAUCUCUGUGACGUCAACAACGGCGACCUUUUUCAGCAGUACCACCACCACCACCAGAAGUCCCUCGAAACCAUUUGUUAUGAUCACGCGCGCAUUUCUCCCACAACAGAAAAUAAAAAAUGAAAAAGCAUAGCUGUAGACGCAGUCUUUGUUUCUCUGGAAAUAGACGUUUUUACUGCAUGUACCUGAUUAUGAGAUACAGGCUCAAAGUAAUAAUGCCUCUUGGUGCCCUAGACGGAGCAUGCCUCAUUGUGCAUCAGGUUGCCUCAGGUUGUGCCUCAGGUUCAGUGCCAUGAGUCAGACAUUCAGUAACUGCUUCCAAGAGGUGGCUGUGAGUACUAGUACUCACUACUCACAGCCACCUCUUGAAAGCAGCUUCGUCGUCGUUACCUACAGAAAUGGUUUUGGAGCUUCUGAUGAGCCUUUGAUGAGUUCUUAAUGAAUCAUAAAAAAUACAACAGAAACGCAAGUUCUAAUGUAUUUUGACAUCACAUUAUGAUCAACACCUUAGGGAAUUUUUACAUUAACUUUUUUAAUGAGUGAUAUACGUACUAUUUUUAUUGUGUCCGUGAUGCGGGAAAUCAUUGGGUUCAAUGCAGGACGUCCUGAAUUCCAUCAGUUCCUUACGUGCUGCAUUACACGUCGUGAAUUUUACCACAAAGAGCAGCGACCGUUGUUAAAAUGUCAAAUUUAUAAUAAAGCAGCUGAGGCUAUAAAAUGUCUGUGGUGAGCAAAACGGUGUGGUGAGCGAAACGUCAAAAAUACACCACAAAUAUGACGAAAACCAAGUUAAAUAAUUAGAAAAAAGAAAACGAAAAAACAAAGAAAAGGGAAAGGUAACUGCAGACGCUGAUGCAAUGCAGAACCAUGAAGGCGCCACCAGAGGAAUGAACGUGUAGUAUAACUCUAUUGUUGGGAAAAACUCACGUGACCACAACCGUUGGGCCAAUCGUUGGACGUCGGUUGAGUAGCUGUUUGCUUUGCUUUUUUGUUUUUGUCUCCCUGGGUGACCUGUGACGCUGGCGAGGCUUUCUCUUUCCCAUCUGUUCUCUCCCUCUCCCCCGCUUUGGCGGUUCUGGGCAGUUCUGGGUGGUUGUGGAUCUCCGUUCGCGUCGAGUGAAAUAAAUAAAAUGCGGAAGCGUUCGCUGUUUCUCUUGCACAAAGUGCUUGGAUAGGUCUUUCAAAAGCACAAAUACUACACAAAUACACAAUACACAAGUCUGCUGUAGCUGUGCGAAACACGAACAUGAUAUGAACCUUGUUUCUGAAGUUCGAAUAAAAUGCCGAAGCAACUUUGCACUCACUGAUAGCUGAUGUCUCACGUGGAAGAUUUCACAGUAGAACAACAGCAUAUUGGCUGCACAGGCUCACACAUUCAGAGAUCCGGCAUGACAGAAAACAUGUCCAUAUCGCUUUGCUGCUUGUGUAGGCGCUUGGUUGACCCGUCACAAAGGAAACUGUGAAGCUGCUAUGCCGAGAGAUGAUGCUCCAACCACUCUGAGUGUCUUAUCCAUUCUACUGUAUCCAUGCAGGUGCUAUUCUCAAGCAGAUAUGAGUUGAGUGCUUAUACCUGAACAAGAUGGGGAUGAGAAACGUGAAAACCAAAAAUUCUACCUGCCAAAAUGCUGCGUAUAUGCUACAGGUGCGGCGCUAUGUUAUGCUAAGCGGCAAAAUGGAAUAGGAACUGACUUACCUGUCAUCGAAAGUAUCCAUGAGGCCCCGAGUUUUUCAGAGUCGGUAUCAACAACAUGUUAGGGAAGGACACUAAAAACCAUCCAAAGCGGUACCGGCAUAGAUUCUUUGCUUGCGUCCCUGCUGCACCCAACACAUUUCGAACCGAUCUGCACGUAAUGUUGCUCCUGAUCUUCGCAGAGACAUAGGAGGCACUUGAAAAGAAACAGGAUAAGAAGAUUCCGAACGUAUCGUGAAGAUGAAGGGGUUAUAUGUCGCGACCUGCAUGGAACACAAGUGUCAUCUUCUCUGGGAAAAUAUAAGAUGGGAGGUGGCCAACAAAACGUAAAACUCCCUGUGGUCCGUGAGUGCAGCCACCGCACAGUCAGGCGUACGCCUUGUCUAGACACAAAACAAACGCCAUCGACAGACUGUAUGGGAAGUGCAUCAGCGUCAAUUGAAGAGAGAACGGACCACUGGCCGUCGCUGAGCUUCUCGACCGCGGCCCCAUGGGGCGCUGAAGAUCGCGUCUUGCUAAGGCGUCUAACCGUAGUGCCUCGAGUAGCGACGCUGACCAAGGAUCAGAGGAGCUGGCGCCUCCAGACGUUUCUACGGAUACUGGACACAGCAGAUUUUUUUACGUACUGUUCUGGAGCUGAAAAGCAGCCAUGUAUGAAUAAAUAAAUAAAUAA